AUGAUAUUUCAAAACAAAGACGAGUAAGGACAGGGUUUGAAAAUUUACUACGACUGAGCUCCCAGUUAAUCAUUUUCGUUAACUUUUGACAACUUUGGUUGAUAAGUAUGAUGUUCAAAAGAGUUGCUUAAGCUUUGUAGAAAUUAAUUUAUAUUUUGGGGUAGGUGAUGUUUGGAGGAUAACAGGUUUACCUAUAGAUGGUAAAAUGAUUGUUGUAAAGGAUGUCAAUAGACGCGCAUUAUGUGAGGGGUUUCUUAGCAUGGAUUCAUGUGUCAGUGAUCACACAAGUGGGAUUUCACUUGUUUGUCUUAGGAUAUACAUUAAUUAUUUGAAAGCCCAUGCUCUUGAAGGACAAGACUUGAGUUCUACAUUCACGCAUUAAUCCUCUAUUUUAUAGGGUCUAUAAUAGUCCUUUGUUCAUCAUAUUUAGUCCCUCCAAUAUUUUUGUUGUUUUUUAGGAGUAUAGAUGAUAUAGGAAGCUAUGUUUGGGGUAUAGCCAUGCUAGGAAAUUUUCAUGGCAACCUCAAAAACCACAUCAAAUAUCGCGCUGGCAUUUUCGCUAAUUUUCAUUUUCUGAGGGUAAGGAUAUCUAUAUUUAGUAAUAAUUUUUUUAGCCUUGUAUCAUAUAAUUAACUUUUUUGUUUUUUUUUUUAGUUGUUUAUGAUGGAGCACAUUCCCAAAGUUGCAUUUCCUAUACUUCAUUAUGGAGUUAAAUUAAACGGUGCCCAUUCAUCAAAGUAUAGGGAUGACCACCCCUUACAAUUCUCACUAACAGUUGGCUAGCACGAGAUGAUAAAAAAACCAAGUCAGGAAUCAUCAUGAUUGUCCAAGAGUGCCCUUGUUUAGAGGUAUUUUAAGUGAUUUUCAUCCAAUGCUGCCCCAAGAAUUUUUACCUGAGCAAUAUGGUCAACAAAUUAUAUUGGUGCUUGCUUUCACCUACCUCCUAUGCAUUGCGCAGGCUGUCCCUCAUGACCUUGGAGUUUUAAGUGGAAGGAAGCUUUUUUUUUGUCGAAUAGUGACUAUAACUUUAUGUUGUCUGAAGCUCAUGCCAAGCAUGAUAGUGGUCACAAAGACAUUGGUGGCUAGGGAAGAAAGAAGAAUUGGCCUCAAGUACAUGGUAUAUUCAUCAAAGCAUGGAAUGAUCAUUUGCAACACUUGUAUGCUUACAGAAAUUGUCAUGACAGGAGGAGACGAUUGGCUUUACCUUGGUUGAUGGUAGGCCGAAGGACAGGGAAUUAUCGGUGUCAUAGUUAGGAUGAAGUUGGAGAAUAGCACCAAGAACAAGAAGUGGAUGAACGAGGCCAGCCUAAUAAGGAAACUAAUGAAGUUGUUCAAAAAGAUGAGACACGUGAAAGAGGAAACAGAGAAGGAGAAGCAGCAACAGCAAGCCAACAAACUUAAGGGGAGCAAGCUGCACAAACUUAUUAAGAGUUUGCAACAGACAGCCUCCAUGGAUUGAAUUGCACAUAAUAUGAAGGGCUGGAACAGGGAUUUCAUUGGGUUGGAACUGGCCCUAAUUCCUCUCCAAAAACUUAAGAUGCACAUGAAAAAGACAAACAAAAAUCCAGACCUUUUGUUGAAGAUUUUCUAAAAUUUUUUUUGGAACACUAUAGACUUGCCAUUUCGUCAUCAAAGAUGUGGUAAUGCAAUUCCUCAUACUAUCAAUUUUCUUCUAUAGUUUGAAUUGAUCUUUUAAGGAUAUUUUAGUUUUUAGCGUUUAUAGUUUUAACAAGAGAUUUCACUUUAAUAACAAUGCAGGUGUAACCUGGAGAAAGCACUUUCAUUUCAUUUUUUAAAGAAGACAUCAAAAACAAAUUUUUCUUAAUUUUGGUGGUUUCUACAUUAAUAUUCUAUGGGAUGUAAUUUCCCCCCUUAUUUAGUUCUACUUGAAGCAUUUUCAUAAUUUUCUGAAAUAGAUUUGUUACCACCAUUUUAAGAUAAGGCACUUUUUUCAAAAAAGAAGUUAAUGUCAUAUGCAAGAAUAGAAUUCUUGCAAAAGGCAUGCUACAGAUAGCACAAUAUUCCUUAAAGAUUUGAAUGUUGUGUGGACUAGUUCUUUAGAGUGUAACAUAACAGCUAUAUUGUUGGUGGAUGAUACUAGAGAAAAAGUUGAUUUUAAUCCAGUCAGUAAAUAUCUCCUUAUAAUUUUUCUAUUUUUAAAUACCAUUAAUUUUGUUCUGAGCUCUGUUGUCAACUUUAUUCUUAUGUUUUCAAUUAUGUUCAUG